CCGCGCGGGCCGGAGAGGAACGGUUAUCCCUGCAACGGAGGUGGUCGCGGGUUCGAAUCCCGCCGGGCCGC
rnacentral:tRNA from 1 species